rnacentral:piRNA from 1 species
UAACAGGUAACAAUUGCUUCGGCCUUGGA